GAUGAAGAACGUAGCGAACUGCGAUAAGUAAUGUGAAUUGCAGAAUUCAGUGAAUCAUCGAGUCUUUGAACGCACAUUGCGCCCCCUGGUAUUCCGGGGGGCAUGCCUGUCCGAGCGUCAUUACAACCCUCAAGCUCAGCUUGGUGUUGGGCCCCGCCGCCCCGGCGGGCCCUAAAGUCAGUGGCGGUGCCGUCCGGCUCCGAGCGUAGUAAUUCUUCUCGCUCUGGAGGUCCGGUCGUGUGCUCGCCAGCAACCCCCAAUUUUUUUCAGGUUGACCUCGGAUCAGGUAGGGAUACCCGCUGAACUUAAGCAUAUCAAUAAGCGGAGGA
rnacentral:misc_RNA from 1 species